rnacentral:rRNA from 1 species
AACGAACGCUGGCGGCGCGCCUAACACAUGCAAGUCGAACGAGAAGCUGUAGCAAUACAGUUGUACAGUGGCGAACGGGUGAGGAAUACAUGGGUGACCUACCCUCGAGUGGGGAAUAACCAGCCGAAAGGUUGGCUAAUACCGCGUACGUUUCCCAGUCUGCGGAUUGGGAAGGAAAGCGAUGCCGUGGGUAUCGCGCUCAAGGUUGGGCUCAUGUCCUAUCAGCUGUUGGUGAGGUAACGGCUCACCAAGGCAACGACGGGUAGCUGGUCUGAGAGGACGAUCAGCCACACUGGCACUGCGACACGGGCCAGACUCCUACGGGAGGCAGCAGUGAGGAAUAUUGCGCAAUGGGCGAAAGCCUGACGCAGCGACGCCGCGUGGGGAUGAAGGUCUUCGGAUUGUAAACCCCUUUCGGGAGGGAAGAUGGGACGAGCAAUCGUUCGGACGGUACCUCCAGAAGCAGCCACGGCUAACUUCGU